GAGCAACUCCAAUGGAGAGACAUCAAAAUGGAGCAUCAAACAUUCAUUUGAUACUUGAUAUAAUACUUUGAUACUUCUAAAAUAAAAAUUCACUCCAACCACAAGCAUCAAAUAGGUUAUCAAAUUUUAAAUAUAUGAAUAAUUAUAUUAUUAAAUGCCACGUGUCAAAUAGUGAUAGGUUAAUGAAGUGGUUACAUUUUUGAUAACUCAUUUUCAAGGGAGUAUUUUUGCACCUCGGGGUGGUUGAAUAUCAAAAUAGUUCUCCAUUUAAUGCCUCCAUUGGAGGAGGAUUUUUUAAUUUUGGAGCAUCAAAGUGGUA
rnacentral:lncRNA from 1 species